UUGCCCCUGCGGUGUGCGUGAUUAACAUCUGUUUUUGAGCCAACACUUUGAACCUGGGGUCUUUCCUUGUUUGCGGUGUGCAGGUCAGCCUCGUAUCCGCUUGGCGGGAGGCAGAAAGCCUGAAGCAAAACAAUACUAGGCACCCACUUUAUAAAAAGGUUCAAAAAAGUGCUUAACACGGCAUAAGCGGGGGUUUU
rnacentral:other from 1 species